rnacentral:lncRNA from 1 species
CCUUGACUCGUCUCUGGCCAGCUUAGUAGGCAAUCUUGGGAUUUCUGGUACCACAUCAAAAAAGGGAGAUCUCCAGUGGAAUGCUGGGGAGAAGAAGUUGACCGGUGGAGCCAACUGGCAACCAAAAGUCACUCCGGCCACAUGGUCAGCAGGCGUUCCACCGCAAGGCACUGUUCCUCCAACCAGCUCAGUCCCUCCGGGUGCCGGCGCCCCGUCUGUUGGGCAACCUGGAGCAGGAUAUGGAAUGCCUCCUGCGGGGACAGGCAUGACCAUGAUGCCUCAGCAGCCAGUCAUGUUUGCACAGCCCAUGAUGAGGCCACCCUUUGGAGCUGCAGCUGUGCCCGGCACACAGCUGCAAUUUUUGUGACUGAAUAGGAAAACUAAGCUGAGUUUGGAAACGUCA